CUCAUUGAUAAAAGGAGCCAGCCUUCCCUAGAGGCUGGAACUUCAGCCCCACCCUGGACCUCUGGGGGUGGCCGGGGAGCUGGAGGUUGACUCAAUCCCCAAUGUUGGUGAUUUCAGCAACCUGCCUGAAGUCAGUAAUACAUGUCACUGAGGAUGGAGCCUUGACUGCUGACCCUGAUCAUUCUGAGAGGACUUCGGCUCAGGUAACAUAUUGACACGGCACCCGGGGCCUCCGGUCAAUGCUGUCAAAUUAACAGGAGCCACUAAGACAUAUCAGCUGGCAGAUGUCCUACUCCAUCCAGCCCUGCUGGGAACCCCCUUGCGUGCCGUUUCCUCCAGGGUGAGAGGCACCCUCCCCUGCGCUCUGAAGCCGUCAUGUUCGUCUUUGGCCCAACACGCGUCACGUCCUACCAUGAGCACCGUUUGUGGUCGUUAAGGUUUUGGUUUUUGUUGUGUUGUUUUUAGUCUAUAUCAUCUGUGUUCAGCCAAGUCCUCAGCAGAGAAGGCCCUCAAGGUACCUGUUGAGGGAAUAAAGAGGGCACCAAAGAAAACAAGAAACAUCUAUCCGUACAAUUCUACUUUCUUAAGGAAUCCAACUAGUUGUCUUCCUUUCUCUUCUCAGCCUUUGUACUUAAAGUAAUCAAAAUUUCACAGUAGCUUAGCAUCAGCACAAAUGCAUUGACUCUUAAAACAAUUUUUCCUGUUUUUCUUUUUUUUUUUAACCUGAAGUAUGGUUGAUACACAAUGUUGCAUUAUUUCAGGUGUACAAGUAGUCACGCGAGGACUCUAUACUGAUGCUGCGUCCCCAAGAGUAACUACCCUCUGUCUCUAUACAACACCGUUACAGCACCGUUCACCAUGUUCCCUAUGCGGCACCCUUCAUCUCUUGAGGUACUCAUCCCAUAACUGGAAGCCUGUAUUUCACUUCCCUCUACCCUUCACCUGUUUUGCCUACGGCCCACCUCCUCCCUCCCCUCUGGCAACCAUUGGUUUGUUCUCUGUAUUUAUAGGUCUGUGUCUGCUGCUUGUGAAAACGUAGUAUUUCUUCGGACAUUUUUUAGUGCUAACAUCUAUCUAGAUGAUUCACAAAAAUAAAUACAGAGUGCCUUCAUAUCUUGCUUUCUUAAAUAUUUCGCUGUGCCUCUCAGGCCACACAGCACCACCUGACCAGCAAGGCAGGCUGGUUUAUCAGGAAAUGACAGGGUGGGCCUAGAAUGUGGCUGGAUUCCCAGGGGAUCUACAAGUUGGCUCUAAAAUGCUGGGGCCAACACCACUAUCAUGAAGCUUUUCUGCCCGUGUUUUCUCAUUGGAGUUUUAUAGUUUCAGGUCUUGUGUUUUAGUCUCUCAUCCACUUUGAGUUUAUUGUGUAUGGUGGAAGAUAGGGGUCUAAUUUCAUUAUUCGGCAUGUGAAUAUCCAGUUUUCCCAACACUGUUUACUGGGAAACUGUUCUUUCUCUGUUGUGCAUUUGCGGCAUCCUUGUGGAAGAUCGGUUGACCAAAUAUGUGUGAGUUUAUUUCUUGGGUUUCUAGUCUGUUCCAUUGGUUUACAUGUCUGUCUUAUGCUGGUACCACAUAGUUUUAAUUACUGUAGCUUCGUUUUAUAUAUAUUGAAACUGGGAGGUUUGGGAUCUCCAGUUUUGUUUUUCUUUCUCAAGAUUGUUUUGGCUAUUUGGGGUCUUCUGUGGUUCCAUGUGAAUUUUAGAAUUACUUUUUUCUUCUUCUGGGAAAAAAAAAAAAACCUGGUAGGAUUUGCAGUGAUAGGAUUGCAGUGAUCCUCUAGAUUACUUUGGGCAUUUUGGAUAUUUUAAUACCAAGUCUUCCAACCCACAAACACAGGUUGUUUAUCUGUGGCUUCGUGUCGUCAUUCAUUUUUUCCAUCAGUGCUCUUGGCAGUGAUUUAGUUGGUAUGACCCUAAACGCAUAAAUAACAAAAGAAAAAAUAAACAAGUGGAACCACAUCAAACUAAGAAGUUCCUGCACAGCAGAAAAAAAAAAAAAAAUCCAACA